CAAAAAAGAAGAAGGGGGGGUAAUUUUGACAAAAAAAAAAGAAAAAAAGCUUAACCCUAAAAAACUUAACAUUUUCUUCUCCCUGACAGAGAGCCGCCCCCCCCCCCCCCCCCCCCCCCCCCACAGUUUUGGCUCUCCCAAACAGCCGGUUGCAGCUCUCCCUCUCGGCUAUUUCCACCUUCCUUCUUCAUCUCAGCCGCCUGCACAUUUUCCUUCUCUUCUUCCAAAAACCAGAUACUCUCCCCUUCUCCAAGACAGCAGCUCCAUUUUUCUUUUCCAGCAACACACCCGAACACCUCCCCAACGACAGCUUCUCUUCUCUUUCGGCAAAAAAAAACAGACCCGGCUCACUCCACAGAUCUGCCACCAGCAGCAGCGUCUCCCCAUCACAGCGGCGCCGUCUCCAGCUCCUCCUCCACGCACGGCUGCGCUCGCAGCUCCGACCCAGCUCCAGCAGCAAAACCCACGAACAACAGCGGUGAAGGAAGACCAUCAACCCGAUUCUUCCAGCUGGCAGCCCCAUCUCUUCUCAGCCAGUCGAUCUCCCAACCGUGGCAGCGGUGGACGACACUGCCGGUGUGGAAAUGAAGGAGGCAGAGGUCACCACCGGUGAGGAGAAGAAGAGGCGAAACCGUGACUGACCCCCUGCUGUUUUGGAGUUCCAGCGGCGGCGCGUGGGUUCACGAGCCGCCAGUGACGGUGGCGCGUUGGAACGCGCGCCGCCAGCUGUUCCUGCCUCCAAUUCCUGUGCAGAAGGGUUCCCUUGCAAUUUUUGGAGUUUUAAGGACCAUUUUGUAAAUUUGAAAUUAUUUUAUGUAAUUUUUAUUUAUUUUUGAAUAUUGUAAUUUGUAUUGUGGAUGUAAAAAAAAAGAAGAAAAAGAAAAAAGAAGAAAAAGAAAAAAAGAAAAAGAAGAAAAAAUAUAAUAUAAUAAAAAAUGUGUGUUUGUGUUUGUAAUUUUUUUAUUAUGUUAUUGAAUUAUAAAAAGAAAAACAAAAAAAAAUAAAAAUGCAUGUUUGUAUUUA